GGAUAUGGCGAAAUUGGUAGACGCU
rnacentral:tRNA from 1 species